CCUCACCACCACAGAAAUAGACAGCCUCGUCCUCGGCUUGGACCCCAGUGAUGGUUAAUGUGCCUGUGGAGCCGGACCUGGAUCCGGAGAAUCGCGAAGGAAUGUCCAAGGGUCUUCUGUCAUUCCAGUAGAUCACAGUGACAGGGGCACUGCCAGGGACCUUCUGCUGGUACCAGCCAUACUCAUUGCUGCUCCCAGAGCAUGUGAUCCUGACCGUCUCUCCCACGUUGGCUGACAGCGAGGAUGGCUGACUCACUGCUGCUGCCUGGACCAGGGAACCUG